GUGCUUGCUUCGGCGGCACAUAUGCUAAAAUUGGAAAGAUACAGAGAAGAUUAGCAUGGCCCCUGUGCAAGGAUGACACGCAAAUUCAUGAAGCAUUCCAUAUUUUU
rnacentral:snRNA from 1 species